AGUAAAUAGAUACCCGGGUAGUCCACGCCGUAAACGAUGAGUACUAGGUGUAGGAGGUAUCGACUCCUUCUGUGCCGCAGUUAAACACAAUAAGUACUCCGCCUGGGAAGUACGGUCGCAAGAUUAAAACUCAAAGGAAUUGACGGGGGCCCGCACAAGCAGCGGAGCAUGUGGUUUAAAAUUCGAAGCAACGCGAAGAACCUUACCUAGACUUGACAUCCCCUGAAUAACGUAGAGAUACGCGAAGCCCUUCGGGGCAGGGAGACAGGUGGUGCAUGGUUGUCGUCAGCUCGUGUCGUGAGAUGUUGGGUUAAGUCCCGCAACGAGCGCAACCCUUAUCAUUAGUUGCUACCAUUCAGUUGAGCACUCUAGUGAGACUGCCCGGGUUAACCGGGAGGAAGGUGGGGAUGACGUCAAAUCAUCAUGCCCCUUAUGUCUAGGGCUACACACGUGCUACAAUGGUGAGAACAACGAGAUGCAAUACUGCGAGGUGGAGCAAAACCUUCAAAACCUCAUCUCAGUUCGGAUUGUAGGCUGAAACCC
rnacentral:rRNA from 1 species